rnacentral:misc_RNA from 1 species
AUUCGUGUCCAUGUCCGCUCCUCACUCUCUCCGAUCCACCACAACCUCGCGAGCGAGAGGGCGGCUGCCUCGCAUGCGCGCAUGCUCUCCGUCCCUGCACCGCCACCACUCGACGGAGCUGGGCUCGCCGCUGCUCGGCAGCAACCUAUCCGUGCCCAUCCUGACGGCCAUCUGUAUCUCCGUUCCCCCCUACGCGCUCGCCAAACACCCCUCCGUCUCCAUCGUCGUGGUCGAGCAAGUCAAUCAAGUCGCUGGUAGCCCCGAAGGCGCCCGAGAAGGCAGCGGGGCACAAGGGCGGUCGCAAGUGGCGUCUCUGGCGGAGCUCUCCGGCCGCGUACACGGCGAGUGCCAGCAAGUGAAGGCGAGGGCAGUGCGCUGGCGUGUGGCGUCCGAGGCUUCUUCGGCGUCGGCUGACUCAUUCAGCUCGGUCCUUGCUGCCAUAUAUAAAGGUCGUGGUGCAAGUGCAACCAGGAGCCCACCCUUCAUUGAUCGAGACUCAUGUCUCGCAUCGUCAGGCAAAUCUCUUUCUUCUCGCUGAAAAAGAAAGAGGAAGAGGCAAGAGUCGUAUCAUAGAUCCAGAUCUGGCUAGCGUAGGCGCGGCAAGGCGGCGAACCCAGCGAGCGGUGUGGCAAGGCUCACAUGCACGAGAGCAGGCUACACUGCAGUGGUUGCAAUCCUGCUAUUGUCCUCAUCGCUGUGUUCUUUUCCUGACCAAGUAAAACAUAGCAGCAAUUCAUUUUUACCAUGAAGGAAAUUCUUUGCAGAGUAUGCUGUUGAGCAAAGCCUUGCAAAUGCAACAAGAUUUUGAAGAUAAAAAGCAUGAAGUUAUAAUUGAAAAUUUGGAAAGCAAAAUAAAGGAACAAUCAGAUGCUUUCGAGAAAAAAAACUUUGAGCUCCAGGCGACCGAAGGUUUAUUGGCGGAAGCUGAAGCAAAAAUAAUAGAACUGAACACGAAGCUUCUCCGCCAGUCUGAGCAGUUCGAACGAGAAAAACAAGAUCUUAAUGCAAAACUUGAAGCCGAAGCUCAACAAAAUUCAGAUUUGAGAAAACUACUUUCAAGUCUUCAAGAAAAAUGCUUGGAAUUUAGCAACAAGUGCAUUCAACGAUUGAGAAAGAUUUUUUACUCAGUUGGAGCCAGCAGUGAAAAAUUCACCCCCUCAGCUGAAGAUCUACCGAAGACCUUCGAACAUAUUGAGGGGGAGAUUGACGAGCUCGACGAAGUCAUAGCUGGGCAUGGUGACUUUUGUGCCUGGGUGGCUUCUCGAGGGACUGCUGCAGCUUUCCUGAAGGCUGGCUGUGAUCAUGGAAAGAUUGUUA